CUAGAAACUCUUUCCCUCAGAGAUAUGACUUUACCUGUCAGCUUAUAUCACACUCUCACCAAGUCUCUCUGGGUUAAAGUAUUAUCACUCUCAAAUCACAAUAUGCAAUAUCAAAUCAGAAGUUUGAAUAAAUUCUCUCAUCCUAUCAACAUGUACAAUCACACACACUAUUUGAGGUCUUUUACGGUUGUAACGGGGCUUUGGUUUAGGUAGGCUAUGAAAUUUUGAACAAAGGUUUUUGGUUCAGAGUACAUGAAAUCAUUCUCUCACUACGUUUCUUUUCUAUUAUUCCUGUAGGGUUAUGCAAUCUUCUUUUCCUUUUAUCUAUAGUGAAUGUAGCGUCUUUCAAAAGUUGUUCUUUUACUGUUUUUCGCUUUUCUCUUUCUUUCUUCUCAUGUUGUUGUUGUUGUUUUUUUUUCUUUUUUUUUUUCUUUUUUUUUCUUUUAUUCGACAUUCACUUACUAUUCAUGUACUGCAAAGCUACCCCAAACUUAAAGGUUGCUAUUCCAACAGCAACCCCAAACUUAGAUAGAAACGUAGAGAUGAAAUCAAUUCUCACAUACUCUGAACAGGGUAGGAUAGGUACAAGGUCAUGGCUGUAGAAAAAAACGGGUAUAUCAAAAAUAAAUGGUUAACAGGCUCAACAGGGUAAACAAUGGAUAAUAAUAAUAAUGGGAUGGCUAGAAAGGCUCUAGGUGAUAAACAAAAAACAUGCCUC
rnacentral:lncRNA from 1 species